GACGAACGCUGGCGGCGUGCUUAACACAUGCAAGUCGAGCGGAGCGGCGAACGGGCGAGUAAAGCGUGAGUAACUGCCCCCCUCUCUGGGAUAACAGUUGGAAACGGGUGCUAAUACCGGAUAGGGGGGGAUGACUGGCGUCCAAUGAGCUUGUUGGUGGGGUAGUGGCCUACCAAGGCGACGACGGGUAGCCGGCCUGGGAGGGUGGCCGGCCACAAGGGGCUGAGGUACGGCCCAAACGGCUACGGGGGGCAGCAGUGGGGAAUAUUGCCCAGUGAGGGAAACCCUGAUGCAGCAACGCGCGUGCGGGAUGCCCGCCUUGGGGUUGUAAACCGCUUUCAGCCAUGACCCGGUAGUAGCAGAAGAAGCACCGGCUAACUACGUGCCAGCAGCCGCGGUAAUUC
rnacentral:rRNA from 1 species